AGUGAACGCUGGCGGUAUGCCUAACACAUGCAAGUCGAGCGGCCGCACAGUAAGAUCUCUCUCCUACGGUUAGCGAGGGGCGGGUGGGUGACACAUACAUCGCAUACCUCUUUUACUUGGGUGACAUCGUAGGAAAACUGAUGCUACUACCGCAUACGUCCUACGGCUGAGAUCAAUAGUUCUUCGCACCUUUCCUGUCUCAUUUAGCCGAUGUCGGAUUAGCUAGUUGGCGGGGUAAAGUCCCACCAAGGCGACGAUGCGUAGCUGGUCUGAGAGGAUGAUCAGCCACACUGGAACUGAGACACGGUCCAGACUCCUACGGGAGGCAGCAGUGGGGAAUAUUGGGCAAUGGGCGCAAGCCUGAUGCAGCAACGCCGCGUGGGUGAAGAAGGUCUUCGGGUCGUAAAGCUCUGUUGUUAGGGAAGAAAAAAAGUAGGUGAAAACCCGGCUGUUUUGACGGUACCUAAAGAAAAAGCCACGGCUAACUUCGUG
rnacentral:rRNA from 1 species